rnacentral:rRNA from 1 species
GAGGUUUGAUCAUGGCUCAGAUUGAACGCUGGCGGCAGGCCUAACACAUGCAAGUCGAGCGGUAGAGAGAAGCUUGCUUCUCUUGAGAGCGGCGGACGGGUGAGUAAUGCCUAGGAAUCUGCCUGGUAGUGGGGGAUAACGCUCGGAAACGGACGCUAAUACCGCAUACGUCCUACGGGAGAAAGCAGGGGACCUUCGGGCCUUGCGCUAUCAGAUGAGCCUAGGUCGGAUUAGCUAGUUGGUGAGGUAAUGGCUCACCAAGGCGACGAUCCGUAACUGGUCUGAGAGGAUGAUCAGUCACACUGGAACUGAGACACGGUCCAGACUCCUACGGGAGGCAGCAGUGGGGAAUAUUGGACAAUGGGCGAAAGCCUGAUCCAGCCAUGCCGCGUGUGUGAAGAAGGUCUUCGGAUUGUAAAGCACUUUAAGUUGGGAGGAAGGGCAGUAAAUUAAUACUUUGCUGUUUGACGUUACCGACAGAAUAAGCACCGGCUAACUCUGUGCCAG